rnacentral:rRNA from 1 species
GAAGAACGCUGGCGGCGUGCCUAAUACAUGCAAGUCGAGCGGAAGUUGGAGAGCUUGCUCUUCAACUUUAGCGGCGGACGGGUGAGUAACACGUGGGCAACCUGCCCUGCAGAUCGGGAUAACUCCGGGAAACCGGUGCUAAUACCGAAUAGUUUUCGCCACCUCCUGGUGGCGUACGGAAAGACGGUUUCGGCUGUCACUGCAGGAUGGGCCCGAGGCGCAUUAGCUAGUUGGUGGGGUAACGGCCCACCAAGGCAACGAUGCGUAGCCGACCUGAGAGGGUGAUCGGCCACACUGGGACUGAGACACGGCCCAGACUCCUACGGGAGGCAGCAGUAGGGAAUCUUCCGCAAUGGACGAAAGUCUGACGGAGCAACGCCGCGUGAGUGACGAAGGUUUUCGGAUCGUAAAACUCUGUUGUGAGGGAAGAACAAGUACCAACUAACUACUGGUACCUUGACGGUACCUCACCAGAAAGCCACGGCUAACUACGUGCCAGCCGCCGCAGUAA